rnacentral:rRNA from 1 species
GACGAACGCUGGCGGCGUGCCUAAUACAUGCAAGUCGAGCGGACUUGAAGGAGUGCUUGCACUCCUGAGAGUUAGCGGCGGACGGGUGAGUAACACGUAGGCAACCUGCCCUCAAGACUGGGAUAACUACCGGAAACGGUAGCUAAUACCGGAUAAUUUAUUUCACAGCAUUGUGGAAUAAUGAAAGACGGAGCAAUCUGUCACUUGGUGAUGGGCCUGCGGCGCAUUAGCUAGUUGGUGGGGUAACGGCUCACCAAGGCGACGAUGCGUAGCCGACCUGGGAGGGUGAACGGCCACACUGGGACUGAGACACGGCCCAGAGUCCUACGGGAGGCAGCAGUAGGGAAUCUUCCGCAAUGGGCGAAAGCCUGACGGAGCAACGCCGCGUGAGUGAUGAAGGUUUUCGGAUCGUAAAGCUCUGUUGCCAAGGAAGGACGUCUCAUAGAGUAACUGCUAUGAGAGUGACGGUACUUGAGAAGAAAGCCCCGGCUAACUACGUGCCAGCAGCCGCCGUAA